rnacentral:rRNA from 1 species
CAGUAGCCGCGGGAAUACGUAGGUCCCGAGCGUUGUCCGGAUUUAUUGGGCGUAAAGCGAGCGCAGGCGGUUAGAUAAGUCUGAAGUUAAAGGCUGUGGCUUAACCAUAGUACGCUUUGGAAACUGUUUAACUUGAGUGCAGAAGGGGAGAGUGGAAUUACAUGUGUAGCGGUGAAAUGCGUAGAUAUAUGGAGGAACACCGGUGGCGAAAGCGGCACUCUGGUCUGUAACUGACGCUGAGGCUCGAAAGCGUGGGGAGCAAACAGGAUUAGAUACCCCAGUAGUCCCUGUCUCUUAUACA